GUUUACCCAUCUCUUUCUCUGAUUUGCUCAAAUUGAGUGGGCGAUUCCCAAAUGCAUUUUCCCAUCAACCCAAGUAACGUUAUAGUAAGUGAUGCGGAAAUUAAGCACAAGCGCCGUCUGCUACUGAGAGAUCGCCUAAAUAUGAAUCACAUAACAGUUCAGCGGAGAGGUAAAGAUCCUCAACCACAGCGCUGCCAUGAAGAUGCUAAUUUAUUCACAUGCCCUUUCUGCUCAUCUGACACAUACAAGCCAUGCCAGUAUCAUCAAAUAAUGACCCAUAUAGCUGGACAUAAACUGAGAUCUGUUGAACAUGGAGAUUAUGUUAUAUACAGCUGUGGCCUUGGCUGUGGUCAAAAGGCCAAACAUUUUCACUGCUGUCAGUGUCCACAGACCUACAUAAAUAAAGGUGCCUUAAAAGAGCAUCUUUGCAAAAAACACCCCAUAUCAGCUUUUACUGCUGCUCUACAACCAG